UAGAAACGGGGUGAAGUUCCGAGCUCUUUUUAAUGAAAUAUGAUAGAGAUAUGAAGUUUGGAUAAUUUUCUACGGCACACCUGACUGGGCUAUAGGGUAUAUGACAACUACCAUAAUCUGCCAUAUGGAAAUGUCGCCCUGGUUCAGUCUGUGGUUAGAGCAAGAGUCAACGUCAUUUCUGGUGAGCAUUCAGCCAAUCAGCAGCGAGGUGCUCUAUUAUCGUUGCAGACCUCUCUCUGGCUGUCAUUUAAACUCCAGCCAUCUUCAUGACUACAGCCAGUUCACCCAGAGGCUCCCGCCGGGGUCUGCAGUCACGCGGGUGUCCAUCAGUGUCCAUCUGUCUGUCUGCUGUGUGGAAGACCAUGACUUCUGUCUUUCCCUGUGGGGUCACAGAAGUGGACGGUGACUCUGUGGAUUUGCUUCUCUCUGUUGAGGAGACCCGAGAACCAGUCCAGAGUUCAGUGUGUCCGAUCAGUGAGGAUGAUGAGGAUGAUGAUGCCUGAUGAAGAGGAGCAGCAUGAAGGGUCAACAGAUAAAACAACGAACUUGAAAUUCACUUUUUUCUUGACUUUGCAUGAAAUACUUUCUGUGAUCACUUACUAAAAGGAUGAUUACAAAAAAAAAGAUUUAAUUGUUUUUCAACAUUUCCAUGCUUUUAAAGUUUUGGUCUUUAGAUCAGGUUUCCUCAAAGCGUUAGCUGAUGUCCUCUUUCACGAUGUCCAGGAUGCCUUGAAAUUGAUAUUGACUCAUACGGGAGUAUGAAUAAAAUUUGUCUUUAAAAAUGGC
ensembl:lncRNA